rnacentral:rRNA from 2 species
GGGUGAGUAAUGUCUGGGAAACUGCCUGAUGGAGGGGGAUAACUACUGGAAACGGUAGCUAAUACCGCAUAACGUCGCAAGACCAAAGAGGGGGACCUUCGGGCCUCUUGCCAUCGGAUGUGCCCAGAUGGGAUUAGCUAGUAGGUGGGGUAACGGCUCACCUAGGCGACGAUCCCUAGCUGGUCUGAGAGGAUGACCAGCCACACUGGAACUGAGACACGGUCCAGACUCCUACGGGAGGCAGCAGUGGGGAAUAUUGCACAAUGGGCGCAAGCCUGAUGCAGCCAUGCCGCGUGUAUGAAGAAGGCCUUCGGGUUGUAAAGUACUUUCAGCGGGGAGGAA